GGGGUCAUAGCUCAGCUGGUUAGAGCGCUACGUUGACAUCGUAGAGGCCACAGGUUCAAGUCCUGUUGACCCCACCA
rnacentral:tRNA from 3 species